rnacentral:tRNA from 1 species
AGCUCAGUUGGUAGAGCAGCUGAUUUGUAAUCAGCCGGUCGCGGGUUCGAGUCCCAUC